AUUCCCAACCAAAGCCUUGACACCCGAAGACUAACCCAAGAAGAACUCAAUGAAAGAUCAGCAAAGGGUUUGCACUAUGAUGAAAAGUGGAGUAUAGAGCACCAAUGUAAAUAAGGGCAACAUAUGAUGAUUGAGCCAAUUGGAGAGGAACCGAAAGCAGAAGAGUUGGACUCCGAUUAUGGAGGUAUGGAAACUGAUGAAGAUAUUGAAGCCAUCACACAUACAAUGCAUGCAUUAGCUAGCUAUGCUAACCCACAAACUAUGAAAAUCAGAGGAACUUUGAAGCAUCAGCUUGUCACUAUGUUGAUUUAUACGU
rnacentral:lncRNA from 1 species